rnacentral:rRNA from 1 species
GAUGAACGCUGGCGGCGUGCCUAAUACAUGCAAGUCGAGCGAACGGACGAGAAGCUUGCUUUUCUGAUGUUAGCGGCGGACGGGUGAGGAACACGUGGAUAACCUACCUAUAAGACUGGGAUAACUUCGGGAAACCGGAGCUAAUACCGGAUAAUAUUUUGAACCGCAUGGUUCAAAAGUGAAAGACGGUCUUGCUGUCACUUAUAGAUGGAUCCGCGCUGCAUUAGCUAGUUGGUAAGGUAACGGCUUACCAAGGCAACGAUGCAUAGCCGACCUGAGAGGGUGAUCGGCCACACUGGAACUGAGACACGGUCCAGACUCCUACGGGAGGCAGCAGUAGGGAAUCUUCCGCAAUGGGCGAAAGCCUGACGGAGCAACGCCGCGUGAGUGAUGAAGGUCUUCGGAUCGUAAAACUCUGUUAUUAGGGAAGAACAUAUGUGUAAGUAACUGUGCACAUCUUGACGGUACCUAAUCAGAAAGCCACGGCUAACUACGUG